ACCACCCACGCGGGAGAGACCGCCGGUUCGCCGGUGGCGCCGAAGGGGCAAAUCCUCCCCGGAACCUCUCAGGCAAAAGGACCGCGGGGGCAGG
rnacentral:ncRNA from 2 species